CACAAGCUUGACAACAUCUCCAAAAAAACUGCCACCAUGUCUGGGAUUGAUGAUGCAAUCAAGACUCUGAAGAAAAUCUUUCAUAAGUACGCUCAAAGAGAUGGAAAGAAAACCACCAUUUCCAAGCGGGAGGUUGCUAGACUCCUUAAAACUGAGUGUCCUGGAUUUCUAAUAACGAGGACUAAGGCCGAAGUGACUGAGCAUUUCAAGGAGAUGGAUGAGGAUGGCGAUGGUGUUGUUGAUUUUGCCGAGUACAUGAAAUUUGUUGGUAAACUUGCUGAAUUCAGUAAAUGUUUUGACCUGGUUUGAAAGCUCUGCUUUCUUCUCUAUUUUCCUAUUAAUGAUUAUUCUUCAGUGUGAGAUAAAGCAGAAAGCUGUGACAUGCAGAAUGUCUGCAGUUACCCAUAACUGUAUAACAUUGUGAAAAAAUGGGAAAUUAAAUAUUAUUGGCACUUCAA